rnacentral:rRNA from 1 species
ACUGAAUAGAUACCCAGGUAGUCCACGCCCUAAACGAUGUCGACUAGGUGUUCGGUGAGGAGACUCAUUGAGUACCGCAGCUAACGCGUGAAGUCGACCGCCUGGGGAGUACGGUCGCAAGAUUAAAACUCAAAGGAAUUGACGGGGACCCGCACAAGCGGUGGAUGAUGUGGAUUAAUUCGAUGCAACGCGAAAAACCUUACCUGCCCUUGACAUGUACGGAACCCUGCUGAGAGGUGGGGUGCUCGAAAGAGAGCCGUAACACAGGUGCUGCAUGGCUGUCGUCAGCUCGUGUCGUGAGAUGUUGGGUUAAGUUCCCGCAACGAGCGCAACCCUUGUCAUUAGUUGCUACGCAAGAGCACUCUAAUGAGACUGCCGGUGACAAACCGGAGGAAGUGGGGAUGACGUCAAGUCCUCAUGGCCCUUAUGGGUAGGGCUUCACACGUCAUACAAUGGUCGGUACAGAGGGUUGCCAAGCCGCGAGCGGAGCCAAUCCCAGAAAGCCGAUCGUAGUCC